ACUUCAGAAAACAAAUCCCUGUGUCUUCAGUCCUGGUGAUUUCAUUCCUCAACUUUUACUCUCUGUUGAAGUAUAACUGAUUCAUUGUGUUCUGUCUUCAUUGAUGCUGCUAUAAACUAGUUCAUCUUUCUUUUUUCCGCUGCAACUCUAAAAUUGCUAAGUGUAAUCCCUGUUGUUGAAGUACUGUGACUGUCCUCAGUCUUCGUCUUCAUUUUGUGCUGCUAUAAACUGGUCACAUUCACCCCCUCCCCUCUGUGACAUACUCGAUCUUUCACACUAUAGCAUCAAAACAAUUAUUCUUGUAGCACAUCGGAAUCGGUGCAACAUAAAGUCAAUGUCUAUGAGCAAACAAAAUGUAUGUUUGUAGCAUGUACAAACACCGUUUGCAACAUAGAGAAAAUAAAAUAAAAAACACUCAUCUACCUCCCCUUGCAGCAUCGCCACCUUCCCCUUGCGACACCGCCACCCUUGCCUCAAAACUCCGGUGUCGCAGCACCAGCACCUCCCGCUUGCAGUAUCGUCGGCCACCGCUCUCACAGCACUCCCACCCUUGCCUGUAGCAUCAAUGCUUCCCGCUUGCAACAUCACCACCUCCAUCUCACAGCACCCCCCGCCACAGCUCGCCGCACUGCCACCCUUGCCUC
rnacentral:lncRNA from 1 species